ACGCUCGACACCUACGGGAGCAGCAGUAGGGAAUCUUCCACAAUGGACGCAAGUCUGAUGGAGCAACGCCGCGUGAGUGAAGAAGGUCUUCGGAUCGUAAAACUCUGUUGUUAGAGAAGAACACGAGUGAGAGUAACUGUUCAUUCGAUGACGGUAUCUAACCAGCAAGUCACGGCUAACUACGUGCCGNNCGCGUAGUAUNGNGGCGNGNGAGACG
rnacentral:rRNA from 1 species